rnacentral:rRNA from 1 species
UGGGGAAUAUUGGACAAUGGACCGAGAGUCUGAUCCAGCAAUUCUGUGUGCACGAUGAAGUUUUUCGGAAUGUAAAGUGCUUUCAGUUGGGAAGAAAGAAAUGACGGUACCAACAGAAGAAGUGACGGCUAAAUACGUGCCAGCAGCCGCGGUAAUACGUAUGUCACGAGCGUUAUCCGGAUUUAUUGGGCGUAAAGCGCGUCUAGGUGGUUAUGUAAGUCUGAUGUGAAAAUGCAGGGCUCAACUCUGUAUUGCGUUGGAAACUGUAUAACUAGAGUACUGGAGAGGUAAGCGGAACUACAAGUGUAGAGGUGAUAUUCGUAGAUAUUUGUAGGAAUGCCGAUGGGGAAGCCAGCUUACUGGACAGAUACUGACGCUAAAGCGCGAAAGCGUGGGUAGCAAACAGG